rnacentral:rRNA from 2 species
AAGCUUGCUUGUUGGGGUUGUAGGACACUCUAUACGGAGUUACAAAGGACGACAUUAGACGAAUCAUCUGGAAAGAUGAAUCAAAGAAGGUAAUAAUCCUGUAGUCGAAAAUGUUGUCUCUCUUGAGUGGAUCCUGAGUAAGACGGAGCACGUGAAAUUCCGUCGGAAUCUGGGAGGACCAUCUCCUAAGGCUAAAUACUCUCUAGUGACCGAUAGUGAACCAGUACCGUGAGGGAAAGGUGAAAAGCACCCCGGAAGGAGAGUGAAAUAGAACCUGAAACCGUGUGCUUACAAGUAGUCAGAGCCCGUUAAUGGGUGAUGGCGUGCCUUUUGUAGAAUGAACCGGCGAGUUACGAUUUGAUGCAAGGUUAAGCAGUAAAUGUGGAGCCGUAGCGAAAGCGAGUCUGAAUAGGGCGUUUAGUAUUUGGUCGUAGACCCGAAACCAGGUGAUCUACCCUUGGUCAGGUUGAAGUUCAGGUAACACUGAAUGGAGGACCGAACCGACUUACGUUGAAAAGUGAGCGGAUGAACUGAGGGUAGCGGAGAAAUUCCAAUCGAACCUGGAGAUAGCUGGUUCUCUCCGAAAUAGCUUUAGGGCUAGCCUCAAGUGAUGAUUAUUGGAGGUAGAGCACUGUUUGGACGAGGGGCCCCUCUCGGGUUACCGAAUUCAGACAAACUCCGAAUGCCAAUUAAUUUAACUUGGGAGUCAGAACAUGGGUGAUAAGGUCCGUGUUCGAAAGGGAAACAGCCCAGACCACCAGCUAAGGUCCCAAAAUAUAUGUUAAGUGGAAAAGGAUGUGGCGUUGCCCAGACAACUAGGAUGUUGGCUUAGAAGCAGCCAUCAUUUAAAGAGUGCGUAAUAGCUCACUAGUCGAGUGACACUGCGCCGAAAAUGUACCGGGGCUAAACAUAUUACCGAAGCUGUGGAUUGUCCUUUGGACAAUGGUAGGAGAGCGUUCUAAGGGCGUUGAAGCAUGAUCGUAAGGACAUGUGGAGCGCUUAGAAGUGAGAAUGCCGGUGUGAGUAGCGAAAGACGGGUGAGAAUCCCGUCCACCGAUUGACUAAGGUUUCCAGAGGAAGGCUCGUCCGCUCUGGGUUAGUCGGGUCCUAAGCUGAGGCCGACAGGCGUAGGCGAUGGAUAACAGGUUGAUAUUCCUGUACCACCUAUAAUCGUUUUAAUCGAUGGGGGGACGCAGUAGGAUAGGCGAAGCGUGCGAUUGGAUUGCACGUCUAAGCAGUAAGGCUGAGUAUUAGGCAAAUCCGGUACUCGUUAAGGCUGAGCUGUGAUGGGGAGAAGACAUUGAGUCUUCGAGUCGUUGAUUUCACACUGCCGAGAAAAGCCUCUAGAUAGAAAAUAGGUGCCCGUACCGCAAACCGACACAGGUAGUCAAGAUGAGAAUUCUAAGGUGAGCGAGCGAACUCUCGUUAAGGAACUCGGCAAAAUGACCCCGUAACUUCGGGAGAAGGGGUGCUCUUUAGGGUUAACGCCCAGAAGAGCCGCAGUGAAUAGGCCCAAGCGACUGUUUAUCAAAAACACAGGUCUCUGCUAAACCGUAAGGUGAUGUAUAGGGGCUGACGCCUGCCCGGUGCUGGAAGGUUAAGAGGAGUGGUUAGCUUCUGCGAAGCUACGAAUCGAAGCCCCAGUAAACGGCGGCCGUAACUAUAACGGUCCUAAGGUAGCGAAAUUCCUUGUCGGGUAAGUUCCGACCCGCACGAAAGGCGUAACGAUUUGGGCACUGUCUCAACGAGAGACUCGGUGAAAUCAUAGUACCUGUGAAGAUGCAGGUUACCCGCGACAGGACGGAAAGACCCCGUGGAGCUUUACUGUAGCCUGAUAUUGAAAUUCGGCACAGCUUGUACAGGAUAGGUAGGAGCCUUUGAAACGUGAGCGCUAGCUUACGUGGAGGCGCUGGUGGGAUACUACCCUAGCUGUGUUGGCUUUCUAACCCGCACCACUUAUCGUGGUGGGAGACAGUGUCAGGCGGGCAGUUUGACUGGGGCGGUCGCCUCCUAAAAGGUAACGGAGGCGCUCAAAGGUUCCCUCAGAAUGGUUGGAAAUCAUUCAUAGAGUGUAAAGGCAUAAGGGAGCUUGACUGCGAGACCUACAAGUCGAGCAGGGUCGAAAGACGGACUUAGUGAUCCGGUGGUUCCGCAUGGAAGGGCCAUCGCUCAACGGAUAAAAGCUACCCCGGGGAUAACAGGCUUAUCUCCCCCAAGAGUUCACAUCGACGGGGAGGUUUGGCACCUCGAUGUCGGCUCAUCGCAUCCUGGGGCUGUAGUCGGUCCCAAGGGUUGGGCUGUUCGCCCAUUAAAGCGGUACGCGAGCUGGGUUCAGAACGUCGUGAGACAGUUCGGUCCCUAUCCGUCGUGGGCGUAGGAAAUUUGAGAGGAGCUGUCCUUAGUACGAGAGGACCGGGAUGGACAUACCUCUGGUGUACCAGUUGUCGUGCCAACGGCAUAGCUGGGUAGCUAUGUGUGGACGGGAUAAGUGCUGAAAGCAUCUAAGCAUGAAGCCCCCCUCAAGAUGAGAUUUCCCAACUUCGGUUAUAAGAUCCCUCAAAGAUGAUGAGGUUAAUAGGUUCGAGGUGGAAGCAUGGUGACAUGUGGAGCUGACGAAUACUAAUCGAUCGAAGACUUAAUCAA